CUCUUGCUUGUACCUCUUCAACACAUCGUCUGUCACCAUCUUCGGGGUAAUGGCGAAAGUUGUCUGCGACAAGCCUACUUGUUUGAUAAUGGUAUCGAUGAAUGCAAAAAAAUACGAUGUUGUUCUUCGAAACACCCACAUCCUUUGCAAGUUCCACCAGCCUUUAAUGGUGCUACCACAAGCUGAAGACUCCACGAUGCUGUAUACAGUCUUGGAUAUGAAAACAUAUGCAUAUGGUAGGAACCAUUUGCUUGAAACCUGAGGGAAUAAGGGAAUG
rnacentral:misc_RNA from 1 species